rnacentral:rRNA from 1 species
GACGAAGGGGGCUAGCGUUGUUCGGAAUUACUGGGCGUAAAGCGCGCGUAGGCGGUUCUUCAAGUCAGGCGUGAAAGCCCCGGGCUUAACCCGGGAAUAGCGCUUGAUACUGUGGGACUUGAGUCCGGGAGAGGAUAGUGGAAUUCCCAGUGUAGAGGUGAAAUUCGUAGAUAUUGGGAAGAACACCAGUGGCGAAGGCGGCUAUCUGGACCGGUACUGACGCUGAGGCGCGAAAGCGUGGGGAGCAAACAGGG